AUGCCCCAACUCUGGACGAAGACAGGAAUUUUGUUUGGACUCAGAAUGGAGGACACAUCGCAACAAGAGAAACAAGAGUUGGAAUAUAAAAAUCCAAAUGAAGAGGAAGGUGGGAUCCGUCGCCGAUUGCGAGACAGGGACCUUCUCAGGAAGAGAAAGGCCGAAGCAGAAGAGAAGGAAACUAACCAGGUGGAGAGCCAACGGAAAAGAUCAAGAGCUGAGGACAAGAGCGGUGCGAAGAAGAGAGGGAGGCCCAGGAAGACUGAACCCACACCGCAGCUGUCUGCUGUUCAGGAAGAAGUCGAAGCACUUAAGGAAACUCCUGCAGUAGUGGUGGUACCCGAACCCGCUGUGGUCAUUCAGGACCAAAUAACCAGCUCUCUGCCUCCGCUGUUUGGGCUGGAAUCACAACCAGCUUCAGUCCUUGCUGCUCCUGCUCCUGCAGCAGUGUUCGAGUCUGUGCAGAAUUCAGCUCCUGCUCCAACUCUGGCUUUUGCUGCUCCAGUUCCCGUCCAAGAUUCAGCUCCUGCUCCAGAUGCUGUCUUAGUCCCAGCUCAGUCCCUAGACUCUGUUCCAGCUGUAACUCCUGCUCCUCCCUCAGCUCCUCCCCAAGUGGAGACCCUCUAUACAGAGUCACAAAGCAAGGAGGCCCCAGGCCAGGUCCUGAUUGAGGACUUAGGCCCAGAUGAGGAGGAGGACGUCUCUCCAUUGCAAGGCAACAAACGUGCUAAUGAAGAUUUGAGUGAAACACUUUCGAUCAACGUGCCUGAACAAAAUAACGUGUACUCAGUUCCAACUGUCUCUGCUCAGCCUAUGGCUCAGGAAUAUUUUCCAGGAAAUUAA
rnacentral:lncRNA from 1 species